AAGUACGGAAAUGCAAAUGCCUGGACCUUUCGAUUAUCUUACUCUUACUGCCCUCAUCGAGUGUAAGGUUUUCUGUUUGCAUUGAGGGCUUUCACUUUCUCCGAAUACACUUGAUAAUAUCCGGAUCUUGGAUUAGCUACAUGAGGUAUUAUCUUCUCCUUUUUUCUGCCCAAGUCCUUAGUUCGGAUUGGAUUUGAAGAGUUAUGAAUUGUUUAUGGGUCUCUUUCUCCUUCCACUCUCUUAAGGUUCAAGUGCUAACUUCCAAAUUAGUAUUAGGUUGUUUUCUGAAAGAGCAAAAGAAUAUCUUACUGGUCAUCUGUUUGAACUAUGUCUUGGUGCCACACUAAGGACCAAUGUGUGAUUUACUUUGGGAUGAUCCCCAUGAUGAUGUGGGUUAUCUCUUCGAGCUGGUUAUACAUUUGGACAGCUCAAUUCAAUGACAACAAUGGACUCAAUAUCAUAUUAAGAGCCCAUCAGCUUAGCUUUUAACUGGUGACAGGUGUGUAUGUUCAUUUCAAUUGCUCAAGACUCUAACGAAGGUAUGAUUGGUCCGUCUAUCUUUUCAUAACUGUGGAUUGGAUCAUUGAUCUCUCAAACAUUUUAUGGUAACAGAAAAAAAUGUGGUGAUGGUGUCGCACCAAACUAUUGCUUCUGGUGGGGAAAUAUUGCAGCGAUUGUAGAAAUAAGAGAGGAUUAAAAUUUCCUCCAGUUUAAUCCAGCCGAAAGACCACCCAAUGCUAAAACCUAUAAAAUGGCAUCUGGUAUGUUUCUAACCUCGACAGUCUCCAAGUCCAAGCGAACCUGCAGGUUCUUUAAGAGGAUCACAAGACUGAAUUAUAAACAAUAGGAAACCCUGAAGAAGCUACCUCAACAACUUCCACCUCUUGAAAUUGGAUUAAAUGUAGGGAAUUCUCUUUUGCAAUUUGAUUAUUUGGCCACAACAUCUGAAGCAUAAGGCAAAGUUGUGACAUGUGCAGGUAUAUUGCUUCUAUACAUUGACCCGCUCUCGCAAGGUUUCCUUUAAAAUAAUAUUGAAGAACUAUUAUUUCGAGUUACAAUAUAUUGUACUUCAAGUGUUAUAAUAAUUUUUUGAUGAAAUACCAUUUCCAGUAAUGUAAUCUAUGUUUUCAUAAUUAUUUCCUUUUUUGCACUCUCAUAAUUUAAUUUUAAUUUUAUUAUUUUAAUUAAUUUUAUAAGUUACAAUAUAGAUGCUUGUAUAUUCAAAAUAACGUAAUUGGCAAUUUAAAGUAAGAAUAAAUAUCGUAUACAAUACUACAAUUUAAAAUAAGAAUACAUAUUGUAUAAAGUAUUACAAUCGGAACUAACUUUAUAAUAGUUGAGUUUAGGUGGCAAUGAGUUUCAAAUAGUUUCAGCUGACUAAGAUGUGCUUUCACGUGGUCUAGAAACCACAGAAACUUCACACUAGGGCGAUUUUAAACUUUGUUGUAUUUUUGUUAUUGAGAACUAUAUCUACAUAUAACAUGAUGAUGGAUAAGCUGAAUAAAAAAUAAAUGAAUCUUAGUUAUCAUAUAUAUAUAUAUAUAUUAUCUUUCUUACUAGAUGUUUAUGUAAAAACAUAUGUUAAAUGUAGAACUGAUUUAAACUUUGUUUCAGUUUUAAAAUCACUAAUUUCUCUUUCUAUUGUCCUAUAUGUCUUUAAAAGUUUAAAACGAAAUACAAACUAACUUAUACGCAUGCUUUUUACUUGGUUUAUUUCAACCAAUUGAUUAGGUUCUUCGAUCUAACAAAAAUGUAUGUUUAUGGCAUUUUGGUUUGAUACAUAUAGUUUGACAAAAUAAACCAAAAAUUCCUAGCUAGACUGUUACAAUAAAAAAUAAUUAGACCAAAACUUUGGCUUAAUAUAGAUACAAAAAUUCUCUUACAGUUAGUGAAGACAAAGUUUUAAUGAAGGAACUUUUCACAUAUUUAAAUUGUGCCACUAUUUAUAUGGGAUGAAGUAGAAACUUCUUUCUAACAAUUAUCAAAACAAUUUCGUAAAAAUUUUUUUAUCAAAAGCAAUGAUCCUAAAAUAUAUAAAUGUAAAAAAAUGAUUUCAUUAAGCAUGAAAGUUAUAUUUUGAUAUUUAAUAAAAAUAAAAUAAAAUAUUAAUGUUUGCCUCAACAUCAUCCAAAAUAUUCUACAACUUCAUAAACAUUAUUCAAAGCUUCAAAGAAAACUUACAGAAUAUAUAGAAUACCAAAAACGUCAAACUACAUUACUCAUUCAUGUUUACGGUGUUAGACAUGUUAACUUUUUCAAAAUUUAUGAACCUAAUUUAUACUAUAAAGUUGUGAAGAAGAAAGUGAAAAAUCAAAAUCGAUACUAUUAGUUUUCAGAAAAAAAAUACAAAUAUUCAGUAAAACUGAUAAAAUUACAAUCACUAAAGAUUUUUUUUUUAAAAAAUAAAUACAAAUAACAAAAUCACCUAUUACUUACAAAUAAAAAGUAAUAAAAUUAAACACAUUUUCAAUAAAAUUAAACACGGAAACGCACGGACACGGCUCUAGUGAAUAAUAAAAGUGCAUUUUAACACUAAUCCGGGAAACUAUAGGAAUUUUUUCUUCAGACCAAAGUCAGAGACAUAGAUUAUAGAUCCGGAUUUUGCAUUAACACAAGCAAAACUAAAGC